AUACGGAGGGUGCAAGCGUUAUCCGGAAUCAUUGGGUUUAAAGGGUCCGCAGGCGGUCAAUUAAGUCAGAGGUGAAAGCCCAUCGCUCAACGAUGGAACUGCCUUUGAUACUGGUUGACUUGAGUUAUACGGAAGUAGAUAGAAUAAGUAGUGUAGCGGUGAAAUGCAUAGAUAUUACUUAGAAUACCGAUUGCGAAGGCAGUCUACUACGUAUAUACUGACGCUGAGGGACGAAAGCGUGGGGAGCGAACAGGAUUAGAUACCCCAGUAGUCC
rnacentral:rRNA from 1 species